UACGUAGGGUGCAAGCGUUAAUCGGAAUUACUGGGCGUAAAGCGUGCGCAGGCGGCUUUGCAAGACAGAUGUGAAAUCCCCGGGCUUAACCUGGGAACUGCAUUUGUGACUGCAUGGCUAGAGUGCGGCAGAGGGGGAUGGAAUUCCGCGUGUAGCAGUGAAAUGCGUAGAUAUGCGGAGGAACACCGAUGGCGAAGGCAAUCCCCUGGGCCUGCACUGACGCUCAUGCACGAAAGCGUUGGGAGCAAACAGG
rnacentral:rRNA from 1 species